AACGAACGCUGGCGGCAUGCCUAACACAUGCAAGUCGAACGAGACCUUCGGGUCUAGUGGCGCACGGGUGCGUAACGCGUGGGAACCUGCCCUUAGGUUCGGAAUAACUCCCCGAAAGGGGUGCUAAUACCGGAUAAUGUCUUCGGACCAAGGAUUUAUCGCCUUUGGGUGGGCCCACGUUGGUUUAGCUAGUUGGUAGGGUAAAAGCCUACCAAGGCGACGAUCCAUAGCUGGUCUGAGAGGAUGAUCAGCCACACUGGGACUGAGACACGGCCCAAACACCAACGGGAGGCAGCAGUGGGGAAUAUAGGACAAUGGGCGAAAGCAUGAUCAAGAAAUGCCGCGUGAGUGAUGAAGGACUUAGGGUAGUAAAGCUCUUUACCCGGGAUGAUAAUGACAGUACCGGGAGAAUAAGCUCCGGCUAACUCCGUG
rnacentral:rRNA from 1 species